rnacentral:misc_RNA from 1 species
UGGAGUUAGGCAGGUUCAUAUCAAUAUCGACUAUGUUUGGAUUUUGGAACCAACAUGACAGGCUUAUACAACAACAUUGAUUAAUCACAACUUUUAUGACUCCGACCAAUGAAAGCAGAUAUCAUAAAAAGCUCGAUGACCUGCACUUCAUGUAGUCUUGGGGGAAAAAAAAAAGUUAGCUCCUAAAUCUAAAUAGAGUUAACACCUCCAAAUAGAAUAUUCUACAUCAUCCUCAUAAAAGCUGCAAAAAGACACUUAAAGAUUCCCUUUAGGCUCCAAACUUUUAAAGUUGCAAAAGACACUUAUAGUCAUCUCCCCUAAAACCAAGUUUCUUGUGUGCAUCCAAACUAGCACCUUGAGUUACUGAGAGAGAGGUAGUAAGACUUAAUUCUUUAAUAAAAGAAAAAAGUUUUCACAAAAAAACUGCCUUCUAUAACUUUUCUGCAUAGCAGAUGAACCUGUGUAAGCACUUAAGCAAUCAAAUCUUGGUAACUGUAAAGUUCAACAAAAUUGUCCUAAGGCAACUUUCCUCAAUUAAAUUCAGAAUACACCUGAAAUUUAUUUAUUGUAGGUAGAACAUUCAUGAACAGAUAAAAUUGCCAAUACCAUUAGCAUAUAUAAUGGCCUAAAUUCAGGGAGGAUUUCAUCAAUUUAUCAAAAGCCUCUUUGAACUCUCAGCACAAAAGGGGGAAAAAUGCUUACCUUAUUUGUAGAUGGAGGUGUG